ACGGGUGAGUAAUACAUCGGAACGUAUCCUGGAGUGGGGGAUAGCCCGGCGAAAGCCGGAUUAAUACCGCAUACGCUCUGAGGAGGAAAGCGGGGGACCUUCGGGCCUCGCGCUCAAGGGGCGGCCGAUGGCGGAUUAGGUAGUCGGUGGGGUAAAGGCCUACCAAGCCGACGAUCCGUAGCUGGUCUGAGAGGACGACCAGCCACACUGGGACUGAGACACGGCCCAGACUCCUACGGGAGGCAGCAGUGGGGAAUUUUGGACAAUGGGGGCAACCCUGAUCCAGCAAUGCCGCGUGUGUGAAGAAGGCCUUCGGGUUGUAAAGCACUUUUGUCCGGAAAGAAAUCAUCGGGGCCAAUACCCCUGGUGGAUGACGGUACCGGAAGAAUAAGUACCGGCUAACUACGUGCCAGCAGCCGCGGUAAUACGUAGGGUGCGAGCGUUAAUCGGAAUUACUGGGCGUAAAGCGUGCGCAGGCGGUGCUGUAAGACCGAUGUGAAAUCCCCGGGCUUAACCUGGGAACUGCAUUGGUGACUGCAGCGCUGGAGUAUGGCAGAGGGGGGUGGAAUUCCACGU
rnacentral:rRNA from 1 species